AUAGAUGGUGAUAGUAUCUAUAGUAGUAUAGAUAGUGAUAGUAUCUAUAGUAGUAUAGAUAGUGAUAGUAUCUAUAGUAGUAUAGAUAGUGAUAGUAUCUAUGUAAUGACAUGGGAUAUGUUUGGUAUUUUACAACUUCAUGUCAGAUGGUUCCUUGUCCUGAAUAUAUCUAUAUGAGCCUGGAGAAACUGUAUUCCAUGGUUCUAAUUUCUUUAAACAGCCAAUAUAAACUUCAUCUAACUUUAUCCUCUGCCAGCUAAAAAUCAAUGGAAGUGAUGGGGGGGAAAUGUUCAAAAAGUGUUGCCAGAACACCUUUAAGUAAUGUAAAAACCAAUCAUCACAGUUUCUCCUGGCUCAUAGACUUGUAUCAGGGUAAGGAUGCCACGAGCAUUACGUUGUGAAUUACUGAACGUAACCUUUUAAAACAGAGCAGCUGAGAGGAAAAGGUUAGGAAGCAGAGAUCUGAAUAUGUCCAAAUCAUCCAGGACCCAGACUGUUAGCCUAUAGCUAGAAUAGUCCAGGAAGGCAGGAGGAACCCACAGCACUUGAAGUUGUAUGGUAGGUAGACGUGAACAGGAGGAACCCACAGCACUUGAAGUUGUAUAGUAGGUAGACCUGAACAGGAGGAACCCACAGCACUUGAAGUUGUAUGGUAGGUGGACCUGAACAGGAGGAACCCACAGCACUUGAAGUUGUAUGGUAGGUGGACCUGAACAGGAGGAACCCACAGCACUUGAAGUUGUAUGGUAGGUGGACCUGAACAGGAGGAACCCACAGCACUUGAAGUUGUAUGGUAGGUAGACGUGAACAGGAGGAACCCACAGCACUUGAAGUUGUAUGGUAGGUGGACCUGAACAGGAGGAACCCACAGCACUUGAAGUUGUAUGGUAGGUAGACGUGAACAGGAGGAACCCACAGCACUUGAAGUUGUAUGGUAGGUGGACCUGAACAGGAGGAACCCACAGCACUUGAAGUUGUAUGGUAGGUAGACCUGAACAGGAGGAACCCACAGCACUUGAAGUUGUAUGGUAGGUAGACGUGAACAGGAGAGAAUAGGUCUACACUCCAGUGUCUAAUAUGCUAUUCCCCACACCUCUGAGCUCACAUCAGACCAGGGGGCAUCUGAAAUGGACACUUCUCUGCAUUACCAAAAGCAGUGCAUUAUAUAUGGAAUAGGGUGCCAUCAGACACAGCCCUAGUAUAUAGUGUAUCUACGCUAAAACAUCCUCACUAUGUCUUCUGAACACACUUAGAUAUUUCCAUUGACUAGAAGAUAAUCCAUGGGUAUAUAUGACUCUUGACAUUCCCCAGUUUGGGUGUUGUCGUUCUUGUUGCUGUGGCAGUCUUGUGGAGUGAACCUUAAUGUGUCUUCACAAUGUUAAAAAGGCAUCCUGAACUAUGACCUUUCUCGCAUGAGCACCAUAAUUCAUUGGACAGUGACAUUUUUGUUUGUUUGUUAUUUUGGUUCUGUACUCCAGCACUUUGAUUUUGAAAGGAUACGAUGACAAUGAGGGUGACGUGCAGACUGUCGGCUUUAAUUUGUGGGUAUUUUCAUACAUAUCGGAUGAACCGUUUAGAAAUUAUAGAAGCUUUUGUACAUAGUCCCCCCCCAUUUUCAGGCAUCAAAAAACAUUGGACAGUUUAACAUGAUUUAGAAUAAAGUAAUCAUUGUUAAUAUUUGGUUGCAUAUCCUUUGCAUGCAAUGACUGCUUGAAGUCUGCGAUGCAUCGACAUCCCCAGACGCUGGGUAUCUUCCCUGGUGAUGCUCUGCCAGGCCUGUAACAUCACCAGACGCUGGGUAUCUUCCCUGGUGAUGCUCUGCCAGGCCUGUAACAUCACCAGACGCUGGGUAUCUUCCCUGGUGAUGCUCUGCCAGGCCUGUAACAUCACCAGACGCUGAGUAUCUUCCCUGGUGAUGCUCUGCCAGGCCUGUACUGCAGCCAUCUUCAGUUCCUGCUUGUUUUGGGGACUUAUUGCCUUCAGUCUCCUCUUCUGCAUGUUCAAUGUGAUUCAGAUCCGGUGAUUGACUCGGCCAGUCAAGGAUUUGACACUUUUUGGCCAUAAAAACCCCUUCUUUGCUCUAGCAAUAUGUUUAGGGUCUUUGUCUUGUUGCAUGAUGAAGUGCCUUCCAAUGAGUUUGGAGGCAUUUGGUUUUAUCUGAGGAGAUAAAAUAUUUCUGUAGACUUCAGAAUUCAUUGUUCUAAUUCUGUCUGCAGUCACAUUGUCGAUGAAGACAAGUGAGCCUGUUCCACUGGCAGCCAUACAGGCCCAAGCCAUAACACCCACCAUGUUUCACGGAUGAGGUGGUAUGCUUUGGAUCAUGGGCCUGUCUUUUUUCUUCCCUUUCCUCUUUCCAUCACUCUGGUACAUGUUCAUCUUUGUCUCAUCUGUCCACAAUACUUUUUUUCCAGAACUCUUGGGGCUCUUUUAGGUGCUUUUUAGCAAACUGUAAUCUGUCCUUUGUGUUUUUCAGGCUUGUCAGUGGUUUGCAUCUUGUAGUGUAUCCUCUGUAGUCCUGCUGGUGUAGUCUUCUACGUAUGGUAGACUUUGACUCAUCUACACCUGCAUCCAGGAGAAUGUUUUUGAUCUGUUGGGCUGUUGUCUGGGGGUGUUCUUCACCAUAGAGAAUAUUCUCCGGUCAUCCGCUACAGUGGUCUUCCUCAGACAACCGGGUCUUUUGACAUAAUUGAGUUCACCGGUUUAUUUUUUCUUGUUAAUGAUGAACCAAACUGCAAUGUUCCUGAUUGAUUGGUUUUCAUUUCUGAGCCUUAUGACGGCCAGCUUCAUUUUGAUUGAUUUUCAUUUCUGAGCCUUAUGACGGCCAGCUUCAUUUUGAUUGGUUUUAAUUUCUGAGCCUUAUGACGGCCAGCUUCAUUUUGAUUGGUUUUAAUUUCUGAGCCUUAUGACGGCCAGCUUCAUUUGCAUGGACACUGCCGUCUUCCUCCUGUUGUCACACCCCAACAACAACCUCCAAAGGCAAUAGCAAAGUCUAGAAUCAAUACAUUCAUCAACAGCUCUCCUGCAUUCACUAACGACACAAAUGAAUACACCUGCCUAACGACACAUCUGUGAAGCCAAUUCAACAAACACUUGUACUACCUUGAAAUGGGGGGACCAUGUACAAAAGGUGCUGUCAUUUCUAAAUGGUUCAUCCGAUAUGUAUGAAAAUACCCUCAAAUUAAAGCCGACAGUCUGCACUUCACCCUCAUUGUCAUUGUAUCCUUUCAAACUCAAAGUGCUGGAGUACAGAACCAAAAUAACAUAAAAAAUGGUCACUGUCCAAUUUGGUGCUCACUGUACAUGUAUCUCUUCUGGUGUGGGAGUAACACACACACACACACACACACACACACACACACACACACACACACACACACACACACACACACACACACACACACACACACACACACACACACACACACACACACACACACACACACACACACACACACACACACACACACACACAUACACACACACACACACACACACACACACACACACACACACACACAGGUGUAUAGUAGGUAGCUACUGUAGGUAGUGUUGACCGUCGUGAAAAAGUGACCCUUAUACAUAUGCAAACUCAGUGGACAGGCGUGAGAGUAAAGCUAGAAGAGUAGUCUAUAUUGUUGUAAUAGUGACUGUGGUCUAAUGAUUUUUAUACCUACAGCUCCUGUGUUUUGGAUUGGAAUUCUUGUGGCGUUGUUCUUUUACCCCACACACACACCAAACUGCAGUUGGCCCUUAGUUUAUGUUGGUUAAGGAGAAUGAAAACCAUGGGAACUGCUAGAGGGUACAACUGUUCAGAUAUAAAUACAUUAUGUAGAACAGAUAUGAUUACCUGUCAUGAUAGAAUUGGGAAUUGUGUCAGAUCCAUUUGCUUAUAUUUUUAUCUGCAACGUUGUUGAGCACCCUCACUGGACACGCCCCAGAUGUUCACUCACUGUGAUGCCCGUCUAAAGGGAUUCUAGUCUAGGGGAAGUAGCCCAAUGCCUGACUAACCCUUCUCUAACAGUAGACUUCCCCUGACAGAAACCCCUAAACCCAAAGACUAUGGAGUGAUAUUAGAACCAGCAGAAACUGAAUAUGUAUUCACAAAUUGAAUUUCUGUUGUCAUAUAUAUCACUCCCUAGAUUAGAAGACUGGUAUUACCUGUUCUAAAGACUAAACCUACAGAUAUUAUACACUCUAUAGAUGUGUGAUUAUACAAUCUGUAAAACAGGGCUGAAGUUAUGUCCUGAAGUAGAAGAAGUGACCAGGAACACAAUCCUGAGUAACAUAAGGGCCACUUGCAAUUUCUGUUGUCAUUUGUGGUUUGAUUAGUUUGGUUCCUACCAUGAUGCUAAUUCAAUCAUUACUGCUCAUUGUCUCCUGAAACUCUAUUUGUUUGUCUUUGUUCGUUGAAUGUGUAUCUGAUAUUGAUCUUAAAAACACUGGAAUUAAUUUGUUCUGCAGCGGAUCUCAUUUUUACUUAGUUAUGGCUUUUUGUUUAAAAGCGAGUUGUAUUGGAGAGGAUGAAUAACUUAUCAGCACUUGUGUGAUGAUUUGCUAGCUGUAGUAGAGAUAUGUAGGCUUUUUUAAAUCAAAUUAUGCUUGGUGAACAUUUGACUGUGCAGGUAUUUCUCACUCGAGUAUAGGUCUAUGUUUCAAAGGUAUUAAGUCUGAAAAUCAAGCUGUUGGAAGUGUCUGAAUGGUAUAUCAAGUUAUUAUUAAACUGUUUUUGGUAUUUUUCUGUCUGGGUUGUAAUAAGAUAUUGCAGUACUUUGUAUGGAAAACAGAGAAUAGUUCAUUGUAACUAUUUGUAAAUUAUUGUACUUUUUUGCAAUCUGUAGAUAAGUAAUAUGAUGUAUUCAUAUAUAAUGACUGUGGUUUUAACCGUGGUUCUCUGAAAUGUCUAAGUUAUUGAUGUGUGUGUGUAUAUAUAGUAUGUUUGUUGAUACAGCUUACUUUAUUUUCUAUAUGACCAAUAAAAAGGUUUUGAAAAGGAC